rnacentral:lncRNA from 10 species
CUAGUUUCCUGGGGUGGCUGCAACAAAUUGCCACAAACACAGUGGUUUAAACCACGCAAAUGUCGCUCCCGCAGCCUGCAGGUCGGAAGUCCAAACCAAGGUGCUGGAAGGGCUGGUUCCUUCCGGACCCUUCAGGGGAGAAUCUUUCUGCCUCUUUGGCUUCUUGAGGCCCCUUCCUGGCAUUGCUUCUUUCUCCACUGACUCCUACCAUCAGCGCUGAGUCCUGCCUGCCUCUUAUAAGAUCUUCAGAGGCCACCUGGGAUGUCAGAAGCUUCCAGGAACCAGGAGGUAGCUGCAUCUCCUGUCCCUUCCCUGAGUCACCUUGCUGGACUCCACAGUGUGGUGCAGACAAGAAGCUGCAGGGGACAACAUGGAAGGAAGCGGGGAUGGAGGAGAUGGAAUGGGAUGGGCUCUGGGCCCGGCCAAGCAGAGCAGGAUAGGGCUGAGAGUCAUCUGAGCACAGGUGGUUCAAAUGGCAGAGAAGCUCCACGCUGGAGCGGGGAAGAGCUUGGGCUUUCCGGCCAGAAAGCGCAGGUUUUGGCCACGGCUCUUCUGCCACUCACUAGAUGUGGGAGUUUGGAGGCGUUACCCGAGCUCUGAGCCUUACUUUCCUCAUCUGAAAAAUGGGAAUAAUGGUAGGGUUAAAUUAAACCAAAUUUGGUCUGAGGAUGCCUCUGCACUUUGAGUCCAACUGCGACCUUAGCAGCAAAUGAACUGCAGGCCUAGCUUAGGAGUGUACUUUUGUAAGAAAUAGCCGAGUCUUAGCCAAUCACAGCAGCUGAGCUUCUAUAAAUCGCAGGUGGCUGCUGAGUAGUCCAUGUUCAAACACGGCAAACCAAGCUGUGACCAAUGAGCUGUCUCUGCAGCUCACUUCCAUUUUCUGUCUAUAAACACUCCCUGCCCACACUGUGGAGUGGAGCUCAGCCCUUGGAACCUCUUCUGGUCUGAGGGCUGCCCACUUCAUGAAUCCUUUGCUUAAUUAAACUCAAUUCAUU